rnacentral:rRNA from 1 species
GCUAAUACCGCAUACACUCUGAGGAGGAAAGUAGGGGAUCGAAAGACCUUAUGCUUUUGGAGCGGCCGAUGUCUGAUUAGCUAGUUGGUAAGGUAAUGGCUUACCAAGGCAACGAUCAGUAGUUGGUCUGAGAGGACGACCAGCCACACUGGGACUGAGACACGGCCCAGACUCCUACGGGAGGCAGCAGUGGGGAAUUUUGGACAAUGGGCGCAAGCCUGAUCCAGCAAUGCCGCGUGAGUGAAGAAGGCCUUCGGGUUGUAAAGCUCUUUCAGUUGAGAAGAAAAGAUUGUGACUAAUAAUUGCAAUUCAUGACGGUAUCAACAGAAGAAGCACCGGCUAACUACGUGCCAGCAGCCGCGGUAAUACGUAGGGUGCGAGCGUUAAUCGGAAUUACUGGGCGUAAAGGGUGCGCAGGCGGUUCUGUAAGUCAGAUGUGAAAUCCCCGGGCUUAACCUGGGAACUGCGUUUGAAACUCAAAAGCUA